GUUUUUGGGUUCAUCCAUCUGUGGAGCAUGACCAAACUGAAUCUACAGCGAUGGAGGGAAUUGUUGAAAAAAGCAUUACCGUUGUUCUACAUUACCGUUUCACAUGGCUAUCCAUUACCUGUUAAAAAACCAUGGUUGUUGCUUAUUUUACCGUUUAAAAAAACAUGACUGUUUCUUAUUUUACCGUUUUAAAAAAGCAUGCCCGUUGCCGAAUGUUACUGUUAUAAAUGACAGGGCACUGUUCUUGUGGAUUAGCGAGGGCUUGCGUUCUUCCUCUUCUGUCAAUAUAGGGAGGAGCAGAACAUAGGAAGAGGGAAGGCAAAAGGCAAAGGCAGAGCAUAAGGAAGUGUGACAAUUGAACAGAGAAGGCAAGAUGAUUUCAAAACCAGAGGUUGGCCUGCUCAUCUGCAUUUUGGGGUAUCCUCGUUCGCUUGAAAUGGAAGAAUCUGCGCUUAGUCAGGCUGAGCUAGCAUUCAGAAAUGUUUGGAAGCUCCAAUAGGUAGCUGCUGAAGUUGAGUAAUGAAUGUAAAUUAAAAAAUCCUAGGAAAAUGUUUCAAAUAUUGAAUGGGUUACUAAAUGCAAGAUUUAAUAUCUAAAAUUGGAAAAAUGUUGUAUAUUUUAAUCAAUUGUUAAAAUUGGUGCAAAUGCAAUUUCUAAAUUGAGGCAAUUUACUAGAUAAUGCAAUAUCUAAAAUUGGGGAAGAUGUUACAUUUUUGAAGCAGUUGCUGAAAUUGGUGACAUCAUAAAUGUAAUAUAUAAUUGAGACAAUGCUUAUCCAGUAAUUUGAUAUGUAAACUGAUUUAUUA